rnacentral:rRNA from 1 species
CCUACGGGAGGCAGCAGUAGGGAAUCUUCGGCAAUGGGGGCAACCCUGACCGAGCAACGCCGCGUGAGUGAAGAAGGUUUUCGGAUCGUAAAACUCUGUUGUUAGAGAAGAACGUUAAGUAGAGUGGAAAAUUACUUAAGUGACGGUAUCUAACCAGAAAGGGACGGCUAACUACGUGCCAGCAGCCGCGGUAAUACGUAGGUCCCAAGCGUUGUCCGGAUUUAUUGGGCGUAAAGCGAGCGCAGGUGGUUUCUUAAGUCUGAUGUAAAAGGCAGUGGCUCAACCAUUGUGUGCAUUGGAAACUGGGAGACUUGAGUGCAGGAGAGGAGAGUGGAAUUCCAUGUGUAGCGGUGAAAUGCGUAGAUAUAUGGAGGAACACCGGAGGCGAAAGCGGCUCUCUGGCCUGUAACUGACACUGAGGCUC